rnacentral:rRNA from 1 species
UACGUAGGGCGCAAGCGUUGUCCGGAAUUAUUGGGCGUAAAGAGCUCGUAGGCGGUUUGUCGCGUCUGCUGUGAAAACUGGAGGCUCAACCUCCAGCCUGCAGUGGGUACGGGCAGACUAGAGUGCGGUAGGGGAGAUUGGAAUUCCUGGUGUAGCGGUGGAAUGCGCAGAUAUCAGGAGGAACACCGAUGGCGAAGGGCAGAUCUCUGGGCCGUAACUGACGCUGAGGAGCGAAAGCAUGGGAGCGAACAGG